rnacentral:lncRNA from 1 species
CAAAACUAUUUUUUAAUUGAUGACUACUUAUCAUAUAUAUACUUAAUGUGACAUUUUUAGUGUUCAUAUACAUUAACUUUCAUUUUAGUGGGUAAUUACUCAUCAAUUGAGGUGCUCCUUAAUUGGUGAAAGAUUCUAAAAACAUAACUUUACAGAAAGAAUGAAAACUGCAGUUGCUCUCCCCAAUCUCAAUAGGUAUAAACUACAAAAAGCAACAUUUUUUUUAAUUUUUUUUUUUUAACCAUUUCAAUAAUUAUGUUGGUACACAUUUUUUUUUUAUAUAGAAGACUACUUAUCAUAUACUUAAUGUCACAUUUUAAAUGUUCAGAAACAUUUACUUUGAUUUUAGUGUAAAAUUACUCAUCAAUUGAGGUGCUCCUGAUUUGGAGGAAGAUUCUAAAAACAGAACUUUACAGAAACAAUGAAAACUGCCGUUUCUCUCCCCAAUCUCAUGUAUCCCCAUUGAAUGACAUUGUUUACCGCGAAAGUUGACCUACAUAUUAUCUGAUUAUAGCCUCAGAUUCAAGCAUUUCAUGUUGGUGUGUGAAUCAUCUACACUACAGCAAACAUCAUUAGGUUUAUAUUUAACAAAUACGGAUUUUAAAUUAGUAUACAAGUACUGUGAAUGAUAUUUAUAAUGAAUAAAGGAUAUCCCUGUGUAGUGUGGCAUUCCAACAAUGACGUCACUAGGUUAGAUAUAUUUAGAAUAUUUCGUAAUACUGAUUUUUCCGGACUGUAAAAGAAACGUAUAAAGUGUAAGGGAAAGCUCAAUAUACGAUAAUUUCAUGAGAAACAGAAGGGAAAUGUGUAAAAAAUGUAUUUAAAGUCAAUCUGUUCUCCUUGUUAUCAAUUUCAGUAUGACAUUUUGAGGGGGUUUCCAAACUAUCAAAACAAAAUGAUUGACGUGAGGGAAUGAUACUCUGGCCAACCCCAUUAGGGAAUUGACGGCUUGAAGCCGUCUUUCCCCAAAAACAAACUAAUGUGUCCAUAAAGAAAAACAAAAUGGCAUGUAGACAAACCACAUUAGUAAAGAUAAGUAUGAGUUUCAGCUCCAAGCUCUUGAAUAUAGACUUGCUACAUGUCCCUUCCUAAUUAUGUUUUUUUCUUUCAAUUUUGCCCCUUUAACAAUUUUACUGCUAUAACUAGAAAAAUACCAUUAUACUGACAUCUGCAGGAGGAACACAUAAACAAACGGCAACCACUGAAUUACAGGCUUCUGACUUUGGACAGGCACAUACAUAGAUAUUGUGGUGGGAUUAGAUAUGUUAGCGUGCUCCCAACCCUCCCCUAACCUGUUAUUGUUUCGGUUGAAAGGUGUGUUGUGUCGUAUCGUUUGUUGUCCAAAUGAUUAUAAGAUUGGCUUUCAGCAC